rnacentral:misc_RNA from 1 species
CCGAUUUUCAAGAGUGAGUUCUACCUAGGUGGCUAUUCCUCACAUGGUUCGUGAUGCACAACAGUUUAUGUCAAUUGGUAUUAGAGUCAGCCUUAUCUUGCCAGACUUGGCACUGGGAGUAGUGGCCUAGGAGUGGUGGCUCGCAGAGUGGUGGCCUAGACCCAUGGUGUAAGGAAAGGUGGUCUGAUGUGUAGGGUGUUAGCCGUGAACAACAUGGCCGUGACCAACGAGGACGUUGGUUCUCUAAGUGUGGGGUAUUGUUACAAUCUCACAUCGCUAAGGAAUAACUUUGGUGAGAGGUUAAUAAGUUCCUAGGCACCCUCCCCUUGCAAGCUGGUUUUCAAGGGUGAGUUCUACCUAGGUGGCUUAUUCCUCACGUGGUUCGUGGUGCACAUUAGUUCAUAUCAAAAUCUUUGUGACUUUUAUUAAUCUUUAAUACAAAAUAAAGCUAAAAGAUAAUCAUUU